GACGAACGCUGGCGGCGUGCCUAAUACAUGCAAGUCGAACGCAGUGGGGACGGGUGAGUAACACGUGGGUAACCUCCCAUCAGAGGGGAUAACACUUGGAAACAGGUGCUAAACCGCUACUGCUGGAUGGACCCGCUGUGCAUUAGCUAGUUGGUGAGGUAAAGGAUCACCAAGGCGACGAUACAUAGACGACCUGAGAGUGUGAUCGGCCACGAUGGGACGUAGACACGGCCCAGACUCCUACGGGAGGCAGCAGUAGGGAAUCUUCGGCAAUGGACGGAAGGCUGACCGAGCAACGCCGCGUGAGUGAAGAAGGUUUUCGGAUCGUAAAACUCUGUUGUUAGAGAAGCGGUAUCUAACCAGAAAGCCACGGCUAACUACGUGCCAGCAGCCGCGGUAAUUC
rnacentral:rRNA from 1 species